rnacentral:misc_RNA from 1 species
AAAGUCGUAACAAGGUUUCCGUAGGUGAACCUGCGGAAGGAUCAUUACAAAUCCAUCCUGGGUGGAUGGAUGGGGACACGCUUGCGUGUUCCCAUUCAUUCCAUUCCAUUCACACCACGUUGAAUUGUUCCAGGGGAGAGUGUCGAUAUCGGUAUCGGUAUCGACUGACCCCCUGGUCGUGUUUAUCACAAACUGUUCCACCUCAGUUGCUUCAUGGAGGAAAGGGGGGAGGAGGGAAGGGAGGGAGCGAGAGAGCCGCCGCCGCGGCCUCUUCCCCUGCCAGCCCAACGACCACUUACCGCCACCAACAAAACAAAACACACAACCUAGAACAACUUAUAACAAUGGAUCUCUAGGCUCUU